rnacentral:tRNA from 1 species
GCGUGUAUAGUGUAGGUGGUUAUCACUGUUCGUUGUGGAUCUGUAUUCGCAGCUCUGAGCCAACCGCUGUUCGACUCAGCGUGCGCGCA